AUGCCUACGGGCCAAAGAGGGGGACCUUCGGGCCUCUCGCGUCAAGAUAUGCCUAGGUGGGAUUAGCUAGUUGGUGAGGUAAUGGCUCACCAAGGCGACGAUCCCUAGCUGGUCUGAGAGGAUGAUCAGCCACACUGGAACUGAGACACGGUCCAGACUCCUACGGGAGGCAGCAGUGGGGAAUAUUGCACAAUGGGCGCAAGCCUGAUGCAGCCAUGCCGCGUGUAUGAAGAAGGCCUUCGGGUUGUAAAGUACUUUCAGCAGUGAGGAAGGGGGUGUCGUUAAUAGCGGCAUNUCUUGACGUUAGCUGCAGAAGAAGCACCGGCUAACUCCGUGCCAGCAGCCGCGGUAAUACGGAGGGUGCGAGCGUUAAUCGGAAUUACUGGGCGUAAAGCGCAUGCAGGUGGUUUGUUAAGUCAGAUGUGAAAGCCCGGGGCUCAACCUCGGAACUGCAUUUGAAACUGGCAAACUAGAGUACUGUAGAGGGGGGUAGAAUUUCAGGUGUAGCGGUGAAAUGCGUAGAGAUCUGAAGGAAUACCAGUGGCGAAGGCG
rnacentral:rRNA from 1 species